rnacentral:rRNA from 1 species
AGAUUGAACGCUGGCGGCAUGCCUAACACAUGCAAGUCGAACGGGAGUAGCAAUACUCUAGUGGCGGACGGGUGAGGAAUACGUAGGAAUUUGCCCUUAAGUGGGGGAUAACCCGGGGAAACCCGGAUUAAUACCGCAUGACCUCGAAAGAGCAAAGUGGGGGAUCGCAAGACCUCACGCUUUUGGAGAAGCCUACGUCGGAUUAGCUAGUUGGUGAGGUAAUGGCUCACCAAGGCGACGAUCCGUAACUGGUCUGAGAGGAUGAUCAGUCACACCGGAACUGAGACACGGUCCGGACUCCUACGGGAGGCAGCA